CACGUAGGGCGCGAGCGUUGUCCGGAAUUAUUGGGCGUAAAGAGCUCGUAGGCGGCCUGUUGCGUCCGCUGUGAAAGCCCGGGGCUUAACCCCGGGUCGGCAGUGGAUACGGGCAGGCUAGAGGUAGGUAGGGGAGAAUGGAAUUCCCGGUGUAGCGGUGAAAUGCGCAGAUAUCGGGAGGAACACCGAUGGCGAAGGCAGGUCUCUGGGCCGCAACUGACGCUGAGGAGCGAAAGCAUGGGGAGCGAACAGG
rnacentral:rRNA from 1 species